rnacentral:rRNA from 1 species
AUGGAUGCCACCGCGGCGGACAGGCACGAGGCUUCACCAGUGGCAAGAGACGGCGAGUCCACGACGUCCGUGCCGGAGGUGCCGCGAGCGCCAUUGUCCGACUUGCCUGUCGCCGGCGGCAGCGGCACGCCCGAGGAGAGCGGCGGCGGCGAGGACGAGCAGGUGGAGAGGUUCUACGCGCUGCUCGCCAACAUCCGGGCACUGAGGGACGUGUACGGCGCCGGCGGGUCGUCGAGGAAGCGGGCCAGGGGGGCGGAGGCGCCGUUGUGGAAGCCAAAGUUCAGGAUGGAGGAUUUCCGGGAGGCGGACGACGUGGUGCCCGCGAAGAAGGGGAGGAGCGAUCGCGUCGAGCGGCAGCGGCUGGAGAACAGCGACGCGGCGGAGGCCGACGGGGAGGACGGCGAGGUCGUGGAAGAGAAUGAUCGGGUCUCCGCGUCGCAGACCACGUGUGUGCUGACUGCCGAGCAGCCAGCCUAG